GAUUUCAAUUGAAAAAGUCAUCAAUGACAAAGUGGUAUAACUCAUCAAGACCUAUAACUUUUAUUUUGGUUAUUUCUUCAUCCGACAAAGUGAUUUGUAACAUUGUUCACAGAAUGUACAAAUCUCUUAUAUAGUUUCAUAAACUAUCAGAGAGAUAUAUAAAUUUUGUGAAAUUGUUACUAUCACUUUGUCGGAUGAAGAAAUGACCAAAAUAGAAGUUAUAGAUCUUGAUGAGUUAUACAACUUUGUUGUGAUGACUUUUUCAACUGAAAUU
rnacentral:pre_miRNA from 2 species